rnacentral:lncRNA from 1 species
CUCAGCCUGAGAAGGAGAAAGGAGAGCUCUCUUGCUGCCCUCUUUGCAUGUCCUUGGAAGAACAAUUCAUUUAUUCUCCUGCCUCAAAAGAACAUCCACAAAGAAGGAAAUAAUAACAACUGGGCUUAUCUUCAUCAGGAGAUGUGGGAGCUGCUUCACCUGCCUCCCAGGGAAACAAGCAAUUGGUGCAGUCCACAGAUGGGUGGCUAGGACACCUUCAUGGAAGUGGGUGAUACAGAAUCUGACCACCCAAAUACAAGGGAACUUACCUCUUCC